rnacentral:misc_RNA from 1 species
AAGUCGUAACAAGGUUUCCGUAGGUGAACCUGCGGAAGGAUCAUUAACACGUUUUUCGAAACGUUUGUUUCCUUCUUCACACUCUGUGCACCUACUGCCAGUAUUUCGCUUGUGCUUCGGCUCAGUGAGUGCUGGUGGUUGCUACACUUUGUUCCCCCUUAAGACUGUUGCUGAUUUCAUGAUCAGUGACUGUCUUUCAGUUGGCACCCUUUCUGUCCUUAGCUGCUGCCUUGAAUAAAGGUGGUGUGCUGCGGCUGAAAACAUUUAUCUAAUAAGAGUACAACUCUUAGCAAUGGAUAUCUAGGUUCUC